rnacentral:rRNA from 1 species
UACGUAGGGUGCGAGCGUUAAUCGGAAUUACUGGGCGUAAAGCGUGCGCAGGCGGUUCCCCAAGCUAGAUGUGAAAGCCCCGGGCUUAACCUGGGAAUGGCAUUUAGGACUGUGGAGCUCGAGUGCGGCAGAGGGAGGUGGAAUUCCACGUGUAGCAGUGAAAUGCGUAGAGAUGUGGAGGAACACCGAUGGCGAAGGCAGCCUCCUGGGCCGACACUGACGCUCAAGCACGAAAGCGUGGGGAGCAAACAGG